GGAAAAACUAUCUGCCAAGGAAAAGCAAGGGAAAUAUUGUGUCCAACAGACAAUCCUCCUCCAACAGACAAUCCUCCUCCAACCCUCAUAAAGUUGGAAGCCUUGUACUCUGAGGAUGCCUAGUGUUAGAUAUUUAGCCCUCAUAAGUUCCAUUGUCUUAUUUUGUCAAUCGUCUUCUGGAAGUGAGCCAACUUCUGCUCCAGUGUUGUUUUUUUUUUUGGGUUUCUGUUUGUAAUUUUUUUUCACCAUUG
rnacentral:misc_RNA from 1 species